UUGGGAGCACUCAACACGCACCGUGUGUAACACACACCUUGCUUGCUGGCGCUGUCCACCACGUCCGCCUGCUGCGCGCCGCUCUGCAGCAGCAGCUCCACCCGCCUCAGUGCGCCGUCCACAGCCGCCAGGUGCAGGCACGUCAGAGUCAGAGCCAUGCCGCCGCCGCCGCCUGGGUGGGCAAGGUGGUGCGGGCGGCACGAGUGGGAGAGCGCCUUGCACGUAACCCUAGCUACUCCGUUUAUUUAUGUGGCCCCUGCUGCUGCUGCUGCUGCUGCUGCUGCUGCUGCUGCUGCUGCUGCUGCUGGUGCCCACCGGCCAUCCCUAUCUGGCGCACUCGUGUGCUCACUUGACCGCUUGCCCCCAAACGUAACGCCGCGUACGCUAGCUAGGCAGCUAGGGACCACAGCUGCGCCUUACUUCCUGUAGGAAAUGUUGCCUGGCGUGUUCUCCGGUGCCUUCGGCGCCUACCCGCCAGCCGUCCGCCAGCUAGCUAGCCCACCCAUCACAUCAUGGAUCAGUCUCGCUCUACGCAGUUUGCCAGCGCGCGGUGGCCCUCGUCAGCCCUCGGCGUUUACCAUCCGUUUCGAGGCAACAUGUCGACCCAUGCCGCCCCAGUCCCACCCCGCCUCUGUAAACUCAGUAACUUCAGAAUACCCGAACUCAAACCAACCCCCCCAUACACGUUCCACUUGCGCUACUGAGUACUGACGACUGGUUCCCUCCUGUGCUGCCUGCCGCUAGUUCCGACAGCCUCUUCUGGCAUCGUGCGCGUUCCAUUCCUAGAAGCGUUACCGAACAGUAAGCAGGCUUGUAAGCAGGUAGGCCGUCUGCACUUGAGCCAGAGGGGUGGUAUGGGGUACCGAUCCUACCGAUCCUCUGGUCACCCCAGGAUAGACCGACUUGCUACCCUAUGUGCCGCGACCUCCAAUCCCAAUCCCUGAGGUUCGGGUUCCAAUCCUCGCCGUUCCUAUCCCAAUCCCUGAAAGCCUGGUUCCAAUCCCCGCCCGACCAAACCCAAUCCCCAAAAGUGGUGUUCCAAUCCCUGGCCGGUCAAACCCAAUCCUCAAGUGCUGGGUCCAAUCCUACUCUGGCCAAUCCAAUCCACGGAGGGGUGACCGGCGGCGGGACCAAUCCUAUACCCCAUACCACCCCUCUGCUUGAGCUCACGUGGCACGCACUUAUCACAAGGCUGGCACGCACGUGCAAACGCAAUGUCGGUCUUGCACGCAUGAACAUGCGUGACGUAUCGUCGCGUUUGCGGCGGUACGGCAAGCCUCGAUGGCGGCGAGCAACGUGCCCCACGAAUGCUGCGCCCCGCACGGCCCGUUUAGGUCCUAGGCAGGGGACCCCUGGUCCUAGGCGUUGCGGCGGGCAACCUAUGCUCCUUGACACCUAGGAGCCAAUCACUGCGGUGCACGGCGUGCAGCGAAACCGUACAAACCGUCAAAACCCUGACCUGCCCUUAAACCCUGCCUGAAACCCUGAAUGGUGCACGGGCAAAGCCACGAAGCCCCGCCACGUCUAAGGCACGCUUGUUUGCCGAAUUCUGCGCUCAGUCCAGCUUCAAUUUUAACUGUAAGACAAAUCAACAGGUAAAAGUACGCAUGUAAACCAGUGACUCUUGAGUUCUGCUCGAGCGCUGAGAAGUGAGAACCUUCUUCGCAAUCGAUGGGUUAAAGGCGCGAUCGCCCCCUGGCCCGUGCCUACAUUAAAUGGGGUGCCCUCAAAUUGGAGAGUUACAAUACAGUGAUCAGAGCUUUCAGUCAAUUCCCGGUGACUACUGCUGGCGCUGCACCCUUCUACUUCUUGUUAAAGUAAGGCGCCGCGCGCGGCCGUGCAGCGGGUUCUCAGGCAGUCGACCGUUUAGAAGCAACGUUCAUGUUACCUGCUUGUGCGGGUUGUGUUAAGGAUGGGAGUGACUCGGGGUCUGCGAGCUCACGGCGCCUGCUGCACCUUGGUUGCCAGGGCAUGUCCAGCAGAACGUCAACGGCCUCGAGCAAUCAAAUCUGAGGCCUGGCUGACAACAGAUUACGACUGUUCGCGUAGGCCUCAAGCCCAAGACACUUCAACCUGCCAACCAGGAACGUGAGUUUGUUGGGUGUCCACAAGGAUCCUUGUAAAAAAGUGUGGCGGGCUAACGCACGUGCGUGUCAACUGCGCUUUCCAUUUGUUUACAGUCCUUAGACAGAUAUUGAAUCAGUUCUGCAUUGCGAACGUCGCGCAAACAACUGCACUGACAUAGUAGGUUCCGCUGGGCGCACUCGGCGUGCGUGACCACUACUGACCACUACGCUAACAGUCCCGUCCCCUCCGCUUUCCCUGUGCCUUUCCCCCAUCGUGUGCAGCAUGUUCGAUGUUUUCAGCGCUAUUGGGAAUGCAAUUGCAGACAUUACUCAGGAUGCGGUCAAAGCAGUUGGACACGUGACCGCAAGUGUGGGGGAUGCGACCGCAGCUAUUGGCCAUGCCACCGGCCUGAACCAGGCCAUGGGCCUGCUCUACACCAAGGGCCUGUCAGGUCAACGCCAGGAGCUGCUGAAGCUGCUGGUUGCUGCGGUGCGUGACCCCCGGGGAGCAGGGAACGUGAAGGGCAGGGGGGUUGUAGGGGGUUUUUGGACCCUGCCCGCCGGGGACCCUGCUGCUAGCACGUGCGCAUAACCGCUGAACCCUGGCCUAGCCUGCGGCACCGAUGCGGACCGCUGAGGCCACACGAAAACCCUGUCUUGCGCCGCAAGGUGCACUUGUUGCUUUACAUGUCCCUCGCGGCUUGUGUACGUUCGUUGUUCAACUUGUGCGUGCCUUAUGCUUGCUUCGCGCCACUCACAUUCAAUACCAUGCAGUCCGCCAACGUGUAUGAGCAUGCCAACGACCAGGGCUACAAGUACGAUGAGACGCGGUUCCUGGGCAACCGCCUUCGCCGCACGGACGAGGUAGUAAGCGCAAACUGCACAGCACACAAAGACACGUGCGUACGUGCGCCUUACAUGAUGACGUCGCACUGCUGUCCUCCUGUACGCCUCACCUCCCUGCUCACGUCCCACGAUCGGAGAUGGCAGGAACCCAAUACGGUAGUGCAGCAGCCCAUGCAUUUAUUUGAAAUUUCGCAUUUGUCACUUUGACCGGUCGCUUGCUUCAUCUAACUUUCUGCCCUCAUACCACACGCACGCAGGGCAGCAAGGGCUCCGGCUAUGGCUUUGUGCGCUACGCGGUGUACCAGGUGGCGAGCGGCCCCUACGCCGGCAAGACAAUCCUGGCGUACGAGGGCACAUUCAGCAGCGACCAGAAGUGGCAGGUGCGUCCUAUACACUCUCUGGGCUCUGGGCAGAAUGUCCGCAUGGAGGCGGCAGCAUGAGCCUGGUCCGCCCCGCUGCCGCAAGUUGUCCCAAGUACUCGAUCAAUCGCUUACACACACACGCAUUGUUCUGUUCACCAAACGUGCUACCAUGCACAUGGCACUCCGGGACGUACCCCAUGACUGCCACGCACACUAACCCGAUUAUUUCAUGCCCGACCACUUAUCCUCCCCAUCCACCCGCCUCGCGCUCACCAUGCGCACGCACAGGACUUCAAGCUAAUGCUGGGCAACUUCAAGGCGACGGCCAACACCGCCGAGUCCAUAUACCACCAGGUCCGCCCCGACUUCAUCACCGGCCACUCGCUGGGCGGCUGCAUUGCCGAGGUGGUGUGCUCCAGGUGCGGGCGUGUGCGGGCGUGUGUGUGUGUGUGUGUGUGUGUGUGUGUGUGUGUGUGUGUGUGUGUGUGUGUGUGUGUGUGUGUGUGUGUGUGUGUGUGUGUGUGCUAGGCUGCUUUCUUGGAUGAAUACACACGCUCCUCAGUCCCGCGUCUUCAUGAAAACGCUACCCUAUGCCCUGACCCACCCGCCCCACCCACCGACCACUGCCUGCUGCCCCUGCCUAUCCUGCCCGCGCAGGACCGGCUGCCGCGGUGCCGCCUUCAACGCGCCUGGGCCCUGGUCGCCUGUGGCGGAACUCAACGUGGUUGACGGGGACAAGUACAACGACGUUGAGUUUGAGAUCCACCUGGCUGUCGCGGGUAAGCGCUCUGUCCGUUCGGGCCGGGCGCAGGCUGCUUGGGAAAUUUGUUCGUUCGGGUCGGGGUAGGGCUGGGGCUUUGGAGGGACCGCACUUUGGGCUAGGGCUUGCAGUGCGCGCGGCUUCUGCAGUGCAAUUAUUCGGCUAUGCUCCCACGCGUACCCAACAUGGGCUAACAGCCUAGCGGUGGCCCCCUCGCUGGACAAGGCAGCUGAAUGACCGCCCCGCUCCCUCACGCGCCCACUGCCUCGCUACUCGUUGAUGCGCAGACCCGGUGGUUAGCUUGGCCAACUCGAGCUCGGGCGGCCGCGGCCACGGCCACAUCGGCAACGAGAACAGUGGCGCCGUGCACUGGCACGAGGGUGCUGGUGUCCUCGGCACGCACGGCAUUGACUGCAUGGUGGCAGCCAUUGGCCCCCUGUGAGCGCAGCGCGAGCUACAUGAAGGCCGCAGCAGGCCGGGCCGGGCCGUGCAAUCAAUGCAGAGUGGCCGCGUGUGCGUGUGGAGUUUUGAGGCGGGAUGCAGGGGACACUGGGUACGGGGGGCGCGCACCUAGUUUUCCAUUUAUGAGGAGCGUGAUUCAUUCUGUCGUGCGUUUGUAUCGUUCUGCUCCGGGGCCGAUGUUUGCACCCAAUUCUGGUUAUCCUGUGUCGCAGCCCGUUUGAAGGCACGUGCGACUUAUUUUUCAUCAGUACCGUAUUCAUGUAUUUCCCUAUAUCUCGAGGGCGACUUUGGAUUGUGCAAGCUUGGCUCUGCCAACCGUGAACGUGCCAGAUCCGAAUUACGACAUACACACACACGCAUACACAGUCUUUGCGUUUAUUUAUCCUUGUGUUCUUUCAAACAUUCGACGAUUGUGUGAGGCACGCCACCAUGGCUUUCAUGAUGACGCCACAUGAUGUCCUGCUUGUUGGGCGCGCUCAACACGCACCGUGUGUAACACUAACCUUGCUUAUUGACGCGCUUGAAACAUACGUGCUUGCUGGCGCCGUCCACCGCGUCUGCUUGCUGCGCGCCGCUCUGCAGCAGCAGCUCCACCAGCCUCAGUGCGCCGUCCACAGCCGCCAGGUGCAGGCACGUCAGAGUCAGAGCCAUGCCGCCGCCUCCUGGGUGGGCAAGGUGGUGCGGGCGGCACGAGUGGGAGAGCGCCUUGCACGGUGCCGCCAUUGCCGUCAGCCGCACUCGUAUCACAUCCCUCCCAUAUCGUGCGGCCCACGUACUGGCAUCCACUUCAAAUGCACUUAUGCACGGAGCGGGGUGCGUGGGCAGGCAGAACGCGUGUGACCCGUACCACACCGUAAUACCACUGCGUUCCCAUCGGGCAACCUCCACCGCGCCCCGGCUUACAAACUCACUGCAUCGCCACUGUGCCGCUGGACACGCUCCUUUGUACUCACAUAUGUGGGUGCGAUUUUAGGCUGCUCCUGUCUGCAAGCGAGCUGUCGUUGAGCUCUCGUGCCACGCAUGCCUGCGGCACUGCGGGUCCCAGGUGAAGUCCUAUCCUGCCACAGUACACCUUCCAAGGUGUUGCAGGCGGCAUGUGCUUUGCCAUGCCUUAUUGCUCGUGUACGUUCAUGUGUUCAUAUCUGUGUGCCUGUGCUCAUCAACUUCAUGUCGCAGACAGCUUCUUAGAUCCAGC
rnacentral:lncRNA from 1 species